rnacentral:rRNA from 1 species
UACAGAGGUCCCAAGCGUUGUUCGGAUUCACUGGGCGUAAAGGGUGCGUAGGUGGCGAAGUAAGUCGGAUGUGAAAUCUCCGAGCUCAACUCGGAAACUGCAUUGGAAACUACUUUGCUUGAGGGUCGGAGGGGAGACUGGAAUUCUCGGUGUAGCAGUGAAAUGCGUAGAUAUCGAGAGGAACACCAGUGGCGAAGGCGAGUCUCUGGACGACUCCUGACACUGAGGCACGAAAGCCAGGGGAGCAAACAGG